rnacentral:lncRNA from 1 species
AGGUAAUGAGAAAGGCAAAAGGCCCCUGAAACCCCUUAAGGUUUUGUACCACAAGGAAGAGGUUAGGGAUGUGGCUAACGAGAUAUCAUCGUUUCCCAGUAAGAGCAUUGAGAUAUCACCUUGGAUUUCUAAUGUCACUACCCAUGCCAACGGAAGCAAAGAAGAAGUGAGUAGUGGAUCCAAGAGGGUUGCGUCCAAUAAUGAGAUUGAAGGAAAAGAAUUUGAAGAUCGUCGUGUCAAUGUCAAAAAGCUUGUUGAUUG